UAAAGAAUGUAUUAAGACAAAUUCACAUACCAUCAUAAAACACAGCUAAUUGUAUAUGAAUGUAUUUAUAUGUCCUUUAUUAACAACAGUUUAUAGAAAUAUUAUCAGAGUUUGCACACGAAACUCGCCUCAGCACCCUGCCGAGGUGGAGUCGACCCAGCACGCACUCGCCUGAGUAUAUGUUAAGAGCCAAUAUUUUUAUACUGUGUUAUUCUAGGACUUCUCUGUGUCUCUCAUCAUUGCAGAGGUUUAUCAGUAAUUUGUUGCAACUUUUUUAUCCCCAAUAUUUUUUCAUGUCUGAAUCUGUGAAGAUGACUGAAUCAUUGACUGUCACAUAAACAACUGAUUGCAUUGAACAUUUCUUAUGGGUUGGUUAUUAGGGUUUAGAGGCCCUAGCCUUUCAUUAAAUUGGAAUGGAACAUUUACCAUAAAGAUGCAAGAAUUAAAAAGGUGCAAAGCCAAUCUCCCUUACAUGUAACCUUUUCCUCUUGCAAAUGCAUGAUUAGCUAGAAAUUGAUAUCUCAAAACCAGUGUCCUAAAACUCAAGCGAGUCCACUCAGACUCACCCUAGUGGAUUAGGUCGGACUCGGAAGGAUGCUGAGUCCGAGUAGGAACGGGCCAAACUUAGCCAGUUCCUAUAUCUUAUCACACUAUACCUAGCAAGUUGCAUGCCCUAGAUUUUGCCCAAGGCUUCCCUAAAAUGCCUUCGACACCCUUAUUUCUCUGUUCAUCUGUCUAAAGUAUCUCUCUCUAAAGUUGCAGUGCUCGAGCUAUCUCUUUCUCUCUGUUGGGCCUGGGUAUCGUGGCGAUCAACUUUUUCUUACACUGGAGGUACACUUGAGAAGGAUGCUUGAACAUUCUUAGGUUCUUGAUUAAGGUUGAGGGUUCCUCUUCUCAUCACGAAUUCAACCUUUAGAAACUCAUAGACUCGAUGGACCAAGUAUUUGCAUCAUCAACAAGCAAGGGAGAAUUUUAGGGUUUUGAUACACCUCUUCAAUUUAGGGAUUCAGGGUUUGGGAUUCCAUAGCGCCCACAAAGAGGUAUGUUCUGAGCAUGUAUUUUUCUCUAAAAUACAUCACUGCAAAUGUUGUGGAUCGAAACAAUGGUCGAAUUGUAGCUUUGCUUCUUCUGAUUUGAAGAGUAAUUUUGAGUGUGGUCGCUUUUGUAACUCAAAGGCACCCGCUGUUGUUGGUAA